UUCGUUGUUGAUGAAGUCUU
rnacentral:miRNA from 2 species